AUAUUGCGCAAUGGGGGAAACCCUGACGCAGCAACGCCGCGUGGGUGAUGAAGGUCUUCGGAUUGUAAAGCCCUGUUUUCUGGGACGAUAAUGACGGUACCAGAGGAGGAAGCCACGGCUAACUACGUGCCAGCAGCCGCGGUAAUACGUAGGUGGCGAGCGUUGUCCGGAUUUACUGGGCGUAAAGGGUGCGUAGGCGGAUGUUUAAGUGGGAUGUGAAAUCCCCGGGCUUAACCUGGGGGCUGCAUUCCAAACUGGAUAUCUAGAGUGCAGGAGAGGAAAGCGGAAUUCCUAGUGUAGCGGUGAAAUGCGUAGAGAUUAGGAAGAACACCAGUGGCGAAGGCGGCUUUCUGGACUGUAACUGACGCUGAGGCACGAAAGCGUGGGUAGCAAACAGGAUUAGAUACCCUGGUAGUCCACGCCGUAAACGAUGGAUACUAGGUGUAGGGGGUAUCAACUCCCCCUGUGCCGCAGUUAACACAAUAAGUAUCCCGCCUGGGGAGUACGGUCGCAAGAUUAAAACUCAAAGGAAUUGACGGGGGCCCCGCACAAGAA
rnacentral:rRNA from 1 species